rnacentral:rRNA from 1 species
CCUACGGGUGGCAGCAGUAGGGAAUCUUGGGCAAUGGAGGAAACUCUGACCCAGCAACGCCGCGUGAAGGAAGAAGGUUUUCGGAUUGUAAACUUCUGUCGCGAGGGAUGAAGAAUGACGGUACCUCGUAAUAAAGACCCUGCAAAAUACGUGCCAGCAGCCGCCGUAAUACGGAGGGGGCGAGCGUUGUCCGGAAUGACUGGGCGUAAAGGGAGUGUAGGCGGGAUAGUAAGUACUGUGUGAAAGCCCGCGGAUCAACCGCCGAAUUGCAUAGAAAACUGGUAAGCUGGAGUGCAGGAGAGGUAAGUGGAAUUCCCGGUGUAGCGGUGGAAUGCGUAGAUAUCGGGAGGAACACCAGAGGCGAAGGCGACUUACUGGACUGUAACUGACGCUGAGGCUCGAAAGCGUGGGGAGCAAACAGGAUUAGAUACCCUAGUAGUC